CGGGGCGUGGCUCAGCUGGUAGAGCGCUCGGUUCGGGACCGAGAGGCCGUGGGUUCAAAUCCCACCGCCCCGA
rnacentral:tRNA from 1 species